CCGGGCUCAACCUGGGAAGGGGGCUUGGGACUGCAAAGCUGGAGUGCGGCAGAGGGGGAUGGAAGUCCGCGUGUAGCAGUGAAAUGCGUAGAUAUGCGGAGGAACACCGAUGGCGAAGGCAAUCCCCUGGGCCUGCACUGACGCUCAUGCACGAAAGCGUGGGGAGCAAACAGG
rnacentral:rRNA from 1 species